AUUUAUGCGUUCAAUGGAUGCCUUGGUGCAACACACCGAAGAAGGACGUGGAGGGCUGCGAUAAGUACCGGUGAGCUGCCGUCAAGCUUUGAUCCGGUAAUUUCCGAAUGGGGAAACCCGCUUGUGCAUGGCACAGGGGUUCUUAAGUCACUUAAGUACCUUAAGUUACUUAGGGGUUCUUGCGCUGUGCAUGAGCAUCCUUUUGCGAAUUAAUAAGCUUAAGGAAGGGUACCGUCUGAACUGAAACAUCUAAGUAAGGCGAGGAAAAGAAAGUAAUUAACGAUUCCCUGAGUAGUGGCGAGCGAAAGGGGAAAAGCCCAAACCAGGUACCAUACGGUACCUGGGGUUGCGGGACUCUAAUAUGAGAUCUCACUUAAGAUAGCAGAACUGUCUGGAAUGGCAGGCCAUAGAGAGUGAAAGACUCGUAUGUGAAAUCUUAAAUGGCUCUAGGAGUAUCCCAAGUACUACGGGACACGCGAAAUCCUGUAGGAAUCUGGCUCGACCAUGAGCUAAGGCUAAAUAUGUGUUGCGACCGAUAGUGAACUAGUACCGUGAGGGAAAGGUCGCUAACAAGCAGCCGGAGCCAGGUACCGUCUGGUACCUGGUGACGACGUGCCUAUUGAAGAAUGAACCGGUGAGUUUUUCCAUUCUGUAGUCUAACCCCGCCUUUUGGCCGUAAGCCAAAGGCGCAAAUUCGAAGCACGAAUAUCGAAAUACUAAACAAAUUCGAAUUUUCAAAUUUUCAAAAUUCGAAAAAGCUGGUUUUGAUCAUUUGAAUUUAGGAUUUUGUAUUUGUUUCGGAUUUAGAAUUUAGAAUUUUGGAAUUCUGACCUUUGCGAGUUUGCGAGCAAAGGGCGGGGGGAGGCAAAGUGAAAGCGAGCGUUAAUAGCGCGUCCCGCCCUUUUUGGGUUUAAGUUAGACGGGGACAAUGUUCAAUUUGAACUUGAAAAGGGCGGNNNNNNNNNNNNNNNNNNNNNNNNNNNNNNNNNNNNNNNNNNNNNNNNNGUCAGUUGCAAGUGGCUGGGAUGAGCUGUGGUUAGGGGUGAUAUGCCAAUCGAACGCGGAGAUAGCUGGUUCUCCCCGAAAUAUAUUUAGGUAUAGCCCCCGUCAAAGUUCCUAGGGGUAGAGCACUGAAUAGUCUGUGCGCAGCAAUGUGUGCUGAUUAAUCAAACUUCGAAUACUGGGAAAUAAUCUAGGCGGGGAGUCAGUCCGACCCGGAUAAGCGGGCCAGGGCUAAAGGGAAACAUCCCAGAUCCAAAGCUAAGGUCCCGAAGUGUAUUUUAAGUGUGCAAGGUAGUAUUGACGUUUAGACAGCAAGGAGGUUGGCUUAGAGGCAGCCAUCCUUUAAAGAAAGCGUAACAGCUCACUUGUCUAAGUUCCGGAGAUCGGAAUUCAGAUGUCGGAUCUCGGACGUGAUAGUCUGAUUUCUGAUAUCCGACAUCCGACCUCCGGAACAGGCGGCAGUGCGCCGACAAUGUAACGGGGCUAAAAAUACCACCGAAGCUUGGGGUUCGCAUGCGUAGCAUGCGAUUACGAAUGGAUGCGAAUGCUAGAUUAAUGCGAAUGAAUGCGAAUGUGCUUCGAUUUAAUAUCUCAUUGUUGAUAUUUUAGAUUAUUGAUGCAUUCGAAUAAAUUCGCAUAUAAAAAGUAUUUGCAAAAAUUAGUAGUCGCCUGCUGCGCAGGCGAGCGGUAGGGGAGCGUUCGCAUAUGCGGUGAAGGCCACGGCGUAAGCCGGACUGGAGCGGUGCGAAGUGAGAAUGCCGGUAUGAGUAGCGAAACCCCGGUUGGAAUCCGGGGCGCCGAAUGUCCAAGGUUUCCUACGCAACGUUCGUCGACGUAGGGUUAGUCGGUCCUAAGGCGAGGCCAGAAGGCGUAGUCGAUGGACAAGCCGUUAAUAUUCGGCUACUUUGACAAAAUCGUUUUAAAGCAAAGGGAAGACGAAGAUGGAAGACUUCUGGGUCGAAAUGAUACGGCCCCUAAAAAGCAAGGAAGUGAAAAGUGGAAAAUCCCUUUUUAUGAUUAUUCGAGCUUUGAUAGCAAUCUGGCUCGCGCUGGAGAGAGAAACUGUUUCAACUUCCAAGAAAUUUUCUCGUUGUUAUGUUUUUGUCAAAACCGUACCUAAACCGACACAGGUGGACUGGUAUUAGUGUACCAAGGCGAGCGAGAGAACCUUCCUUAAGGAACUCGGCAAUAUAACUGGACGUACCUUUGGUAGAUGUCCUCCCAGGUACCAAACGGUACCUGGGCGCAGUUAACGAUGCCAAGCGACUGUUUAACAAAAACACAGGUCCCUGCUUAAGUUGAAAAACGAUGUAUAGGGGCUGACGCCUGCCCAGUGCUCGUAGGUUAAAUGCCGUAGGUGAUCCCCGCCCUUUUUGGGCUUUAGAUUUUCGUUUGUUACUAAACUAACGAAAUUUCAUUUUGAGUAAAUUUUUAAGUCUAGAGCUUGAAAAGGACGGGGUGAGCUUGUGGUAUAAGCCCGGGUAAACGGCAGCAGUAACUAUAACUGUUCUAAGGUAGCGAAAUUCCUUGUCGGGUAAGUUCCGACCCGCACAAAAGGCUGAACGACUUGGCAACUGUCUUGAGGAAGGACUCGGCGAAAUUGCAAUGGCUGUGAAGAUGCGGCCAACUUGCACCAGGACAAAAAGACCCCGUGGAGCUUUACUGCAGCUUGACUUUGUUUCAACUAUUGGAACUGUAUAGCGUAGGAGGGAGUCAGGUACCAUUCGGUACCUGACAACAAUGUAACACCUCUCUUUUCGAUGGCUGGAACUUACCGUUUGUCCUAAUAAAAUACGGGAGACGGGACAGUGUCUGGUGGGCAGUUUGACUGGGGCGGUCGCCUCCUAAAAGGUAACGGAGGCGUACAAA
rfam:Microgenomates (Curtissbacteria) bacterium GW2011_GWC2_41_21 TT53_C0012, whole genome shotgun sequence.